ACGGAACAGAUCGCUGUGAUCCCUUCGGGGUGAACUUGAUGCUGUCGAGUGGCGGACGGGUGAGUAAUGCUUGGGAAUCUACCCAGUAGUGGGGGACAACACGGGGAAACUCGUGCUAAUACCGCAUACGUCCUACGGGAGAAAGUGGGGGAUCUUCGGACCUCACGCUAUUGGAUGAGCCCAAGUCGGAUUAGCUUGUUGGUGGGGUAAAAGCUCACCAAGGCGACGAUCCGUAGCUGGUCUGAGAGGACGAUCAGCCACACUGGGACUGAGACACGGCCCAGACUCCUACGGGAGGCAGCAGUGGGGAAUAUUGGACAAUGGGGGCAACCCUGAUCCAGCAAUGCCGCGUGUGUGAAGAAGGCCUGCGGGUUGUAAAGCACUUUCAGUAGAGAAGAAAUGCCUGGGGUUAAUACCCCCGGGUCUUGACGUAACCUACAGAAGAAGCACCGGCUAACUCCGUGCCAGCAGCCGCGGUAAUACGGAGGGUGCGAGCGUUAAUCGGAAUUACCGGGCGUAAAGCGCGCGUAGGCGGUUUGAUCAGUCGGAUGUGAAAGCCCUGGGCUUAACCUGGGAAUUGCAUUCGAUACUGUCAGGCUAGAGUAUGGGAGAGGGAAGUGGAAUUUCCGGUGUAGCGGUGAAAUGCGUAGAUAUCGGAAGGAACACCAGUGGCGAAGGCGACUUCCUGGCCCAAUACUGACGCUGAGGUGCGAAGGCGUGGGUAGCGAACAGGAUUAGAUACCCUGGUAGUCCACGCCGUAAACGAUGAGAACUAGAUGUCGGGAGGAUUUACCUCUCGGU
rnacentral:rRNA from 1 species